AGGCUCGGCGUUGGCCUCCGCGGCCCGUGCGAGUGCGCCCUUCUCGGGUCCCCUAGGUCGCGGGGCAGCCGGGGCGGAAGGGGCUUGUUCAUUAUUUUGAGAGUUUGUUGUGAACGUCAUAACCUUUCGUCCUUAAAUAUUGCCGAUACUUGACCUACGCAAGAGACAAUGUCAUGUGAUUCAGCCUAAUAUCUCAGAGGAUGCAGCAUUCAAGGUUCUAUCUUGGAAGCAGAGACUGUGCCCUCACCAGAUGCUGAACCUGCUGAGCACCCUGAUCUUCCACUUCACCUUCAUCAGAACUUGACACAGCAAGAUGACCAUCUAUGAGCCAAGAAUCAUGUCCUCACCAGACAACAAAUCUUCUAGCACCUUGAUUUUGGACCUCUCAGCCUCCAGAACUGGACGCGCAUGAAAUUUGGUGCCGUGACUCGGAUCGGCGGACCUCCCUUAGGAGAUCAAUCCCCUGUCCUCCUGCUCUUUGCUCCAUGAGAAAGAUCCACCUACGACCUAAGGUCCUCAGACCAACCAGCCCAAGAAACAUCUCACCAAUUUCAAAUCCGCCCUCAAACUCCACAACAGGACUUAAUUAACCUUGCCUUCAAGGUGUACAAUAAUAGAAAAAAGUUGCAAUUCCUUGCCUCCACUGUGAGACAAAUCCCAGCCAUAUCUCCAGCACACAAGAACUUCUAAACGCCUGAACUGCAGCGGCCAGGCGUUCCUCCAGAACCUCCUCCCCCAGGAGCUUGCUACAAGUGCCAAAAAUCUGGCCAUCGAGCCAAGGAAUGCGUGCCGCCCAGGAUUCCUCCUAAGCCAUGUCCCAUCUGUGCGGGAUCCCACUGGAAAUCGGACUGUUCAACUCACCUGGCAGCCACUCCCAGAGGCCCUGGAACUCUGGCCCAAGGCUCUCUGACUGACUCCUUCCAAGAUCUUCUCGGCUUAGUGGCUGAAGACUGACGCUGCCUGAUUGCCUCGGAAGCCCCCUAGACCAUCACAGAUGCCGAGCUUCAGAAAUCCUUCAUCUAAUCUGGCAAACACAUGUGGCAGGUUUUUCUCACCGCAUAAAAUAUGUUAUAGAGUAGUCCAUCUAUUUCUCUUCCAUGGAAGAGUUCAUCUGGUAGAUUGGACUACCACUUUUCCUUGUGAGUAUAUUGAUUAUGUGUCCCUACCUGUUAUUAUUUGACUUACACUCUCUCUGUCCCUGAGAGUAUUCCUCGUGCAUUAGCGUUGGGAUUGGAUACACAAUUUAUAUGAGAAAUAAAUCUUUGUUGUUGCA
ensembl:lncRNA LINC00882 long intergenic non-protein coding RNA 882